CGGCAUUCUCGUCUUAUGCUUGCCCUAACUAAACUUCUUGUCUACUCGCUCUUAAACCUCUCUCUCUUUGCCUGCUUACUGAUCAAAUCCUCCUUCAACUCAGACAAGUUGCGGAAUUUGCAAUUUUUUUCCCUCACUUGGGUUGAAUUUGAAAGCACUUUAUUUUGAUGUGGGAACUUUACUUUCAGUUGAUAUCUUGAACACGUGUGGAUUGUUUCCCUCUUACGAUUUGGUUUUAGAGAGGAUUAAGGAAUGGUUCCCACGGGGAUUGAUCUUGAGCUCCCGUCUGGAGAGUAUCAUAAGGAAGACAACAGACCCAAUGUGAACAUUAACAUGAUGGAGGGUGGUGAUGGAAGGCAUGACAGAGGCAGAGUCAGCGGGAAUGAUGAGGGAAAUGGUGGGCGAAAUGUUGGUGUAGCGGUAGUAGAUGCAGGACCCAGAGCAUACACUGGACGUGAAAUAAACUUGAAUUCUGUGAAGAAUUUUGAGCCUCAUGAUGGAAUGGAAUUUGAAUCAAAGGAGGAAGCUUUUUCAUUCUACAAAGAAUACGCCAAGUUUGUCGGCUUUACCACUAUAAUAAAAGCUAGCCGUCGAUCAAGAAUUUCUGGGAAGUUUAUUGAUGCAAAGUUUGUAUGCACUAGAUAUGGAAAUGAGCGAGAGUCUGGUGGAGUGGAGACUCCAGAACCUGUUCCAUGUGCGGAUAUUGCAACAACCAUUCCUGUCAAGAAGAAAAGAGGUAGAGUUAACCGAUCAUGGUCAAAAACAGACUGCAAAGCCGGCAUGCAUGUGAAGAGAAGGCAAGAUGGAAGGUGGAUUGUUCGUAGUUUCAUCAAGGAGCAUAACCAUGAUAUAUUUCCAGACCAGGCAUAUUUCUCCGGAGGUCAUAGAAAUUUAGGUCUAGGUAAUAGUAAUGUCCAUACAUUGCAUGGAAGAACCAAAAAAAUGUAUGUUUCCAUGUCCAGACAAUUUGGUGGGCACAAGAAACUUGAGAGUCAUAAGGGUGGUGACACAAAUCGAUUACGUAGCUCUCAGCUCUUAGGUUUAGAGGAGGGAGAUGUUAAAGCUUUGCUUGAUCAUUUUCUCUAUAUGCAAGAUGAAAAUCCUAACUUCUUUUAUUCUAUAGAUCUCAAUGAAGAGCAGCGCUUGAGAAACUUGUUUUGGGUUGAUGCCAAAGGAAGGCUUGAUUAUGGCUAUUUUUAUGAUGUGGUUUUUUUUGACACCACUUAUAUCACGAAUGAAUAUAAGUUACCAUUUGUUCCCUUUAUUGGUGUGAAUCAUCACUUUCAGUUUCUGUUACUUGGGUGUGCGUUAGUUGCUGAUGAGACUAAAUUAACUUAUGCCUGGCUUAUGCGGGCAUGGCUUAGAGCAAUGGGUGGACGAGCUCCAAAAGUAAUACUAACUGAUCAUGACAAAGCAUUGAAAGAAGCUAUAGCAGAGGUCUUUCCUGAUUCCCGUCAUUGUUUUUGCUUGUGGCAUAUAGUGAGCAAGAUACCGGAGAAGCUUAGUUAUGUGAUGGGGCAACAUGAAAAUUUCAUGACCAAAUUUGAUGAAUGUGUCUUUAAAUCUUAUACCGAUGAACAGUUUGAAAAGAAAUGGUGGGAAUUGGUUGAUGGAUUCAAUUUAAAAAAUGACAUCUGGUUUCAAUCAUUAUAUGAAGAUCGUCAACAAUGGGUGCCAGCCUACAUGAGAGGCAUUUUGCUUGCAGGGAUAUCUACAAUGCAACGUUCAGACAGUGUAAGCUCUCUCUUUGACAAACAUCUGCAGAGGAAAACUACUUUAAAAGAGUUUUUAGAUCAGUAUAAAACAAUUCUACGAGAGAAGUCUGAAGAGGAAGCUAAAGCUGAUUUUGAAACUUGGCAUAAACCACCUCAGUUGAAAUCUCCAUCACUUUUUGAAAAACAAAUGUCUCCUUUGUACACACAUGCAAUAUUUAAAAAAUUCCAGGUUGAAGUUUUGGGAGGGAUUGCUUGUCAUCCAAGAAAAGAAAGUGAACAGGGAGGCACUAAAACUUUUAAGGUUCAAGACUUCGAAAAAAAUCAAGAUUUUAUUGUGGUGUGGAAUGAGGCAACGUCAGAUAUAUCUUGUUUAUGUCGUGGAUUUGAAUUUAAUGGUUUUCCUUGUAGACAUAUACUGAUUAUUCUGCAGUUGUCUGGGGUUCAAAGCAUCCCUUCACAACAUAUAUUGAAACGUUGGACAAAGGAUGCAAAGAGUAGACAAACCACAGGAGAAGAAUCAGAUGUUCUUGAAACUAGAAUGCAACGUUACAAUGAUCUUUGUCAACGGGCCUUUAAAUUGGGUGAUGAAGGGUCUUUAUCUCAGGGGAGUUACAAUAUUGUACUCAAUGCUCUGGAAGAAGCAUUGAGAAAAUGCGAGAGUGUCAAUUACUCAAUUCGGGGUGUAACAGAACUGAUGUCACCACAAACUCAAGGCUCUCAUCACUUUGAAGAAUUGAACCAAAGUAACAGCACAUCCAAGGCAGUAAAAAGGAUUAAUGCAUCCCAAAAAAGACAGGGAUAUCCAGAAGGAGAGAUCUCAAACUCUGGGAUGCCUGACAGCUGGCAACAAAUGGGACAAUCAAAUAUACGGGUGCCAAGCCUUGAAUGUUCUUAUGAGUCACAAGAGAGCAUUCGUGGGAUGGAACAACUGAAUUCAAGGACUCCAGCUAUUGAUAGCUAUUUUGGUGCUCAACAACUUGUGCAGGGAAUGGGACAAGUGAACUCUAUUGCCCCACCACAUGAUGCUCAUUACAUUACUCAACAAAGAAUGCAUGGGAUGGGACAGUUACACUUCAGACCGCAAACUAUUCCCAUUUGUUAUGACAUUCAAGAUGAUAUACAAGACAUGGACCAACGUAAUGUAGGAGUAGGUCCCCCUCAGUUGCAUGGCAUGGCAUCAAAACAGCUACAUUCCAAACACGUCUCUCGUUAGGUGACAUUACAGAACUUGUCUAACAAAGGUGAUAGAAGUAUUCGACUUACAGAACUUGUCUAACUGAGGUGAUUGAAAGUAUUCGACUUCGGUAGGGUUGACUCUGGAGAUUCUGUAUUUAUUUGCAGUGACUGACAUUGGUUCCGUUGACAUUAAAGAUGGACUAUCAAAGUAUCAAUCCAUCAUCAUUCACUACACCCUGCUGACCCUCUUGAAGACGCUAACAAGUUUUCAUUUCCCCUUCUUUUACUAUCAGCAAUGCUGCCAUAGCAAUUCUGUAAAUGGUGUUUAGGCUUUGCUCCGCAGAGUGUGUUUUUUGGCCAUGGAAUCCCUGAAUUCUCUCUACUAAGAGUUUUGCCUUUUGUAUAGUAUACAGUAAUGUAUAUUUCAUAUUCUUUUGUUGUAUCCACGCACGAUUUUUCGGUA